rnacentral:rRNA from 1 species
CUACGGAGGGUGCAAGCGUUACUCGGAAUCACUGGGCGUAAAGCGCGCGCAGGCGGCUAUUUAAGUUGGAUGUGAAAGCCUACGGCUCAACCGUAGAACUGCAUCCAAAACUAUUUAGCUAGAGUGGGGGAGAGGAAGAUGGAAUUAGUUGUGUAGGGGUAAAAUCCGUAGAGAUAACUAGGAAUACCAAAAGCGAAGGCAAUCUUCUGGAACACUACUGACGCUGAGGCGCGAAAGCGUGGGGAGCAAACAGGAUUAGAUACCCUAGUAGUCC